UCCCCGCCCUGCAGCCCCGCGUUUCUCGCCCUCGCUGCGGGCAGCGCGCGGAGCCCGCAGCAUCCCGCCCCUGGGAUACAGGGGCGCUCCCGCGGUUCCCCCUCUUGACAGCGCAAGAGGUGGACGUGCAAACACAAGGCUGCUCCAAGAUCUCCUGCUGGGAUCCCCACCAGCAAAGGGAUUGCAGGACAUCAGGAAGGGAAAAUCAAUAGGAUUCGUGUUGCAGACUGGAGGGAGGAGCAGUGGGACACGGAGCUGAAGGCUGCCUGCCGCUAAUUAAUCUUCCAGCGUCAUCCCUGUGAUGGAUCAAUCUCUCAUCCACGGGAAGCCUGAUGGGAUCUUCCCACAGACUUUCAUUACAAUUGCUGAGCACACACUUUCCUUAUUAAAUCAGCACUUAAGCAGCAGCACAGUGUCAGGACAAACCCC